GCCUGGGUGGCUCAGUCGGUUGAGCGUCCGACUUCAGCUCGGGUCAUGAUCUCAUGGUCCGUGAGUUCGAGCCCCGCGUCAGGCU
rnacentral:tRNA from 1 species